rnacentral:rRNA from 1 species
GACGAACGCUGGCGGCGUGCUUAACACAUGCAAGUCGAACGGAAAGGCCCUGCUUUUGUGGGGUGCUCGAGUGGCGAACGGGUGAGUAACACGUGAGUAACCUGCCCUUGACUUUGGGAUAACUUCAGGAAACUGGGGCUAAUACCGGAUAGGAGCUCCUGCUGCAUGGCGGGGGUUGGAAAGUUUCGGCGGUUGGGGAUGGACUCGCGGCUUAUCAGCUUGUUGGUGGGGUAGUGGCUUACCAAGGCUUUGACGGGUAGCCGGCCUGAGAGGGUGACCGGCCACAUUGGGACUGAGAUACGGCCCAGACUCCUACGGGAGGCAGCAGUGGGGGAUAUUGCACAAUGGGCGGAAGCCUGAUGCAGCAACGCCGCGUGCGGGAUGACGGCCUUCGGGUUGUAAACCGCUUUCGCCUGUGACGAAGCGUGAGUGACGGUAAUGGGUAAAGAAGCACCGGCUAACUACGUG